GACGAACGCUGGCGGCGUGCUUAACACAUGCAAGUCGAACGGAAAGUCCCUGCUUUUUUGGGUUUCUCGAUUGCCGCACGGGUGCGUCACACGUGUGUAACCUGCCCUUCUCUUUGGUAUAUCUUCAGGAAUCUGGGGCUACUACCGUAUCGCAUCUCCUCCUGCAUUGUGGGGGUUGGAACGUUUCGGCGGUUGGGGAUGGACUCGCGGCUUAUCAGCUUGUUGGUUGGGUAGUGGCUUACCAAGGCUUUGACGGGUAGCUGGCCUGAGAGGGUGACCAGCGACAAUGGGACUAAGAUACGGCGCAGACGCGUACAGUAGGCAGCAGUGGGGAAUAUUGUACAAUGGGCGGAAGCCUGAUGCAGCAACGCCGCGUGCGGGAUGACGGCCUUCGGGGAGUAAACAGCUGUCGCCUGAGACGAAGCGGGAGUGACGGUAAUGAGAAAAGAAGCACCGGCUAACUACGUG
rnacentral:rRNA from 1 species